rnacentral:lncRNA from 1 species
AUAUAUUGUUUCGGAUAGGAACGAGAUAACAGUUGAUCACUGUGGUUCUUCUCUUCACUUCAGAAUUCUCUUCGUAGCAACCUUAAAACCGAAUAGUGGGUACCUGCAGGUUAGCACUCCAACGCUCAAGUCAGCAAAGUUACUAUGAUAAUGAUAUUCAGAAAGUCAAUNCCCCCUUUACCUGAGCUAUGUUUGUUCUAUUUAUAGAGAAAUAUACCCACCAUACUAGGAGCCACGUUGGGCCAAGUCGUGUGCUCCGUGAUUUCCUCCAACGACUCAGCUUCUUAGUUGUAACCGCAGCCGUAACCGCUUCCCACUUCCUAGAUUCUUGCUCCGCCAUUUGCUCCGCUAAAUCCGCGAACUAUCUCCACUAACUUAGCAAUCAUUAUAGUUCCCUUUCGGUGUAACCCUUACCCUGAUCUUCCCUGCAUAUUUCCCGAUCCACCAGGCCUCUCUAACCUUUCUCCUGCCACAUUAUACAAGUCAAUCAGUUAUCCCAUAUGACCGUGUCUUUCCCUAUCGGUAUAAGUUCCCUCCCGAUCUUCUUCUUCGUAACCCCGAUCGACUUGAAUCCUCUCUAUACUACAUAAGCCCCCCAAGC